rnacentral:rRNA from 1 species
AGCUCCAAUAGCGUAUAUUAAAGCUGUUGCAGUUAAAAAGCUCGUAGUUGGAUCUCGGGUUUGGGCUUGCGGUCCACCGCCGUGUGGUUACUGCUCGUCUCCUAGACCUACCUCGCCGGCUCUAUCCCUCGGUGCUCUUAACUGAGCGCUGUGGGUGGCUGGAACGUUUACUUUGAAAAAAUUAGAGUGUUCAAGGCAGGCCUCUGCGCCUGAAUAAUGGUGCAUGGAAUAAUGGAAUAGGACCUCGGUUCUAUUUUGUUGGUUUUCGGAACUGGAGGUAAUGAUUAAGAGGGACAGACGGGGGCAUUCGUAUUACGGUGUUAGAGGUGAAAUUCUUGGAUCGCCGUAAGACGAACUACUGCGAAAGCAUUUGCCAAGAAUGUUUUCA